UAUGUUUGUGUCUUUCUCCUCCUCCUCGUUUCUACCCUCCCCUCUCAUCGCCCUUGCGGAGGAGUCCUUUGGCUUGGAUUCUGAAUUCCAUGCCCCGCUAUGGUGCCCACCACUUCGUACACGAUCGGCGUCUUACCCGUCGGCGGUGUGCCGUAGCCCCUGGCUUAAUUGCGUGUAAGUUUCUGGAGGAGUAAGAGUGGUGUGUGUUUGGAAUGAGGUUUUAGCGUUUUGCCUUGAGAAAUUGAGGUCGUCCAGAGGGUGGAGGAGGAAGAGUUGGCAUAGUUGGAUUGUACAUUGGUGACGAGGUGUUGGCGGUACGGUGCGGAGGUUAGUGAUAGGAGAGUUUCUGGAGGUUGUUAAGUGAUGCGAGGAGGGCGUUCAAUUUUGAACGCGUUUGGGAGUGUGAGGUUUGGCUCUAUGGCGUGGGGUUGUGUGUGAUUCGUGGUGUGGCAUUGGCUUUCGAGGAGCGGUCGAGAGUGUUUCUAUUCUGUAUUUUUUUUUUUUUUUCUCUCUCUCUCUCUCUCUCCACCUCCCUCCCUCUCCCUAUUUCUAUUUGUUUGAAAGUGCUUAGUGGCGAUGGCUGGAAGAGUAGAGGUCGAUUUCUGGGGGAUGGCUGCAGCUUCGUUCUCGGUAGGUUUUCUGUAACGAGCCUGGACCAUUUCGGCCAGAUAGUUUGAGCAUUUUGCGCGUAUUCCUUGGUUAGCGGCAGGUUCCAUGUUUCAUUCCCUGGUGCAUUGAAGUCUUAGAUUGAAAUCUCAGACUGCGGAAGGGAGCAUUUAGUAAUUUUGAGUACCUUCCUCGGAGAGACCGGGUGGUUUGAGUAGCUUUGCUUCUCGGACGAUAGGUGUACGGAAUUCAUGGCGUACGUACACGCUGAUAUUAGGAUCAUCCUCUUCUUAUAGUUUCCCUGUUUAGAUGUAACAGCGAAAUGUGCGAGCGGAUUGCAUUUUUCUCCGAAGAACAAGAUGAUUUGAGCAGAUUGAGGAGCAGGGGUUGCUACAGGAACGUCAAGUAAGUGGUUACAGCAUGGGCAAUUCGUUUGGUUGCUCUGCGUCAGGAGAGCGCUUGGUAUCCGCAGCACGUGAUGGAGAUUUGCAAGAGGCACAGGCUCUAUUGGAAUGCAAUCCCCGUUUGGCAAAGUAUUCCACCUUCGGAGUGCGCAAUUCGCCCCUUCACUUCUCGGCAAUGCAAGGGCACAAUGAGAUUGUAACAUUACUUCUCGAAUGCGGAGUAGAAGUCAAUACGAGGAAUUACUGUGGACAGACUGCAUUAAUGCAGGCUUGUCGUUAUGGGCACUGGGAGGUGGUACAAACUUUGCUACUCUACCGAGCAAAUGUGAACAGAGCAGACUAUCUAAAUGGUCGCACAGCUCUACAUUUCGCAGCAGUCAGUGGCCACUCACGGUGCAUACGCUUGAUCUUAGCUGAUUUUGUGCCCAGUAUUAUCCAUCCGUCGAACAUAUUGCAGCCAGUGAACUGCGAUGAAUCGGCACCUGUGAAAAAUUACCCAGAUCGAAGUUCUUUGGCUAGGGUUGUGAACAGAGCCGCUGAUGGAGGUAUUACGUCACUUCAUAUGGCUGCUCUAAAUUGCCACACCGAGUGCUUACAAUUGCUGUUGGAUCUUUCUGCAAACGUCAAUGCAGUAACCAUUCAAGAUGGCACUACUAUUGACUUGAUAGGAGCAGGUAGUGCGCCGUUGCAUUAUGCUGCUUGUGGAGGCAGUAUACCCUGCUGCCAGGCUCUUAUUGCGAAAGGGGCAAGUCGAAUUGCUACCAACUGCAACGGAUGGACACCUUUGCAAGUGGCACGGUUAUUGCGGCGGCACUGGCUGGAGCCUCUGUUGAUCCCAGACUCAUCAAUUCCUGUCCAACCUUUACCACCAUCGCGCUAUCUCGCCCUCCCUCUCUCCAGCAUUAUGAAAAUAGCUAGGGAUUGUGGCUGGCGAAUCGUAGAUCCUGCGCCUGUGGACGCUGACCCAUGUUCUGUCUGUUUGGAAAGACGGUGCACUGUGGCUGCAGAAGGUUGCGGACAUGAACUUUGCACUCGUUGUGCUCUCUACCUGUGCUCCACCAACAUCAUUGCAACUGCAACCUCAAGUCCACCGGGAGCCAUUCCCUGUCCUCUUUGUAGACAUGGCAUUGUUUCAUUUGUGAAACUCCCGACUACCAUGUCCCUCAAGGAUCUUGCUAAAAUGAACUUGGCUUCUCUUACUCUUUGUACCACAUGCACCAUGGAAAUCCCGGAGCUAAAUUCUGCAAGAGCCCUCCUGCAUAAGGGUGAAAACCGAGGUGGUUGUCGAGUUUCUCCGCUUUCCAUCCACUCCUUAAGAUUGACUUGUCCUGGCUUCUCUUCUCUGAACUGUCCAGGAGGUUUCGGUUCAAAUGAUGAGAAUUCCGGCUGUACAUCCCCUGCUGUGACAUGCGGCUUUGCAAGGUCAGAUUCUCGGUCUGAGGUCCGAACUGAUGACCCUACAACAAUUGAGACUCUUGCUUGGCCUUUGCCUUCCAGGGUGUCGAUCCUUAGAACCACUCCAGUGGUAGCGGCAAAUACUCUGCCUGUACAGCCCCCCAAUAACGAUGGUGUGCCGUCUACUUCUAAACCUGCCCCACAGAGAGACUACUCUUCCCCGAAGGUGACGACCAGGCGGUGGUUAAGGGAACCAUUUCGAUGGAGCAACUAUGCUAGCUUGCGGUCUCAAAGGAAUUAGUCUCAAGUAUAUCCACUUCUUCACUGCACUCUUUACUUCUCAUUCUUGGCUUUACGUGGGAGACGGUAAUUCAAGGGCAACACGAUUACAGUCCGUAUUUAAGCGAGUGGCAGGUGAAAAUCAGGAGCUAUCGUACUUCUUGAACAUCAUGAUUUGAUGUGAAACCUUCUUUCAAGAAGUGGAUUUGGGUACAUAUUGCGUACACAUACUGACUACGAUCGGGAACGCCCAAGAAUAUUUGUACUAUGUGAUACACAAAUGAAUUUGUCGAUAAGUGCGAUCUUGUCUAGCAUGCGCUUGCGACUAUCUUCUCAUUUAUUGUA